AGUGAACGCUGGCGGUAGGCCUAACACAUGCAAGUCGAACGGCAGCACAGUAAGAGCUUGCUCUUACGGGUGGCGAGUGGCGGACGGGUGAGGAAUACAUCGGAAUCUACUUUUUCGUGGGGGAUAACGUAGGGAAACUUACGCUAAUACCGCGUACGACCUACGGGUGAAAGCAGGGGAUCUUCGGACCUUGCGCGAUUGAAUGAGCCGAUGUCGGAUUAGCUAGUUGGCGGGGUAAAGGCCCACCAAGGCGACGAUCCGUAGCUGGUCUGAGAGGAUGAUCAGCCACACUGGAACUGAGACACGGUCCAGGCUCCUACGGGAGGCAGCAGUGGGGAAUAUUGGACAAUGGGCGCAAGCCUGAUCCAGCCAUACCGCGUGGGUGAAGAAGGCCUUCGGGUUGUAAAGCCCUUUUGUUGGGAAAGAAAAGCAGCAGGUUAAUACCCCGCUGUUCUGACGGUACCCAAAGAAUAAGCACCGGCUAACUUCGUG
rnacentral:rRNA from 1 species